GCUUCUUCCCCUGCUGGGCUGGUGAGAGCCACGAGGAAGGGAGGUGAGCACAGAGGAUGCUUUGAACAUGCUGCAGAGAAGCUGAGUGCCCGCCAGCUCUGGGGAGAAAGAAGUCUCCUCACCCCGGGCAAAGUCCUGGAAUCGUGAGAACUUCCAAUGACUUGGCAAAUCGCUCUGAAUCACUGACGUUUGGCGGCCACCUCCACCCAUGCCUGUCCCUUGCCUGCUCCCUCGCCGGGUGUCAGUUCUCGAGCCUACGUGCUGAGAAGAGAAGUUAAAAAGGGAGCCACAACACUACUGAGUCCGAGGAGCCACGGGACACGCGCCAAGCCCUCUGGAAGGUGGAGAGACCCCGGCCACGGAGGGGAGAAAACCCACCUGACUCAGCUCCAGUCCCUGUUUUCCCCCCUUUAUAACCAGAGGGAUAAGGAAUGGGCACAAACCCUGGAGAUAACCACCUGAGACUCUGCUGCCCUUUAACCAGGCUCGUUCCACCCCUGCAGCAUCGCAGGCCUGGCCAGGAAACCUUCAAGUACAGCACUUUCCCUUCUAAGCAGGUCCUGCAGAAACCCUUUCAGUGCAAGCUGACUUUUUCCAAUGAGAAGAGCAGGGAAACUCUCUGGUUUUGCACUGGAAGAGAGGGACAGAACGAGCCCUGUGGAUUCUGGUUUUGCCAGCAUCCACCUCAAAAAAAAGCAUGAUCCAACGAGGACAGAUGUGCCAGGCUGUAACAGGUAGAGCUGGGGCGGGCAGGUUUUUGUGACCUCCUAUCUCACUCCUAAUGCUGCUGGGAUGGGAAUUUAGCUGUGAAAAAUCAAGAGGCUGUCUCAGGUUUUGUCUGCACGAAGAUGUAGUAUUAAGGCAAAGCCAUACAUUUCUUACUGCUGCAGCCAACCGAUCUCAUUCAGCAUCAGAUAUUUUCCCGAGCAUCUCCCUCCUGGCUUCCCCAGUCCCCAGGCUCAUACCAAGUGACCCGUUUCUCCUCACUUUGCAACCCAAAAUCCCGCGGGGUGUCGUAAGCCGUCUGCGCUGCGGUUAUUAGCUCACGGCCGUCUGCGGGUGCCCCGCGGGGACCCUGGAAGCCCCGUGCCACAAUAACAGGAGUCGCAGCUGGAAAAGCCGCAGCGCCUUGCAGGUGUUGCUAUAACGUCCUGCCUGGGAUUACCGGGCUGGUCAGAAAUCAUGAAGCACUGUUUCCCUUUGGAGAUUUACAUGCGCGGGAGGGGGAUGCUGAGCAUUGGGAAAAAGAUGAACUUGGCACCAGGGGAUGCAGAUGUUACAACUGCAGGCCCCAUCAAAACCGUGCUGUGGGAGGGCGAUUACUUGGAGUUUAUCAGUGAUACACAGUGCUGAUACGGCGACCGGUGAGAAGUCUUGGUCACGUCACCUGGGAUCUUAUGCUAAUUGCUAUUGUGGUUUGUUUUUCCGAGCUAAUAUGCAGAUAGAUAACAAGGGCCAGAGAGAAGAGAGGAAAUGGCCUUUGUAAUGCUCUGUGGAGAUAACCAUGCCUUCUCCUGGCUGGGGGCAAGUUUGGCAGCAGGGAACAGAAACAUCUUCCCAAGGUGAUGUGACACUUUCCAAGAGCCCACGGUUCCAGGUCAGAGCUUGGGCUGGGGCAUUACCAGGGAAUCAUUGCUUCCCCAGACGUCUUUGGUGGCCUCCUCUGAAGCAAGAGACAUUGCUAGGAAAAUGCAUCCAGCGCUUAUCUCCCUGCUGGGUCUCCUGAGAAGUGCGAGACGCGAUAAAACAAGCCUGAAAAUGCUGAUAUAAACAUUGCUCAGGAAAAUGUGCUCUGCCCUCGUUGUUCUUAACUAAAGUGAUACUGGAGCCUGCACAUAACAAUGCCAGGAUGAGCAUAUGGGCAGAUCAUGAGCAGAAAAUUAAAAGUGUGGAGCACAGCACAGGUUUGCUUUUUUUUUUUUCCUUUUCUCAUCUCUGUACAUGCAGGCGGGAGUCAUGGAUGGCUGGGAUCUCAGGGAAACCUCAGCUUGGUGUCCAUGACACCAAGAUAAAUGGGCUGAGAUGAUUGCACCGUCCUGGUGUCCCCCCAGACUUCUGUCCCAGGGUAAUCCCGGCCUCAGCAAAGCUGACUGGGCUGACCUGGUCCUUACGGCUGUUCCCUCUGGAGUGAUGUGAUGCACAUCACCCUGUAACUGUAAUUUUCCACAGCUUUCCUGUCUGUAUUCACCCGGAUGUUGCUGCCAGAGCUUGAACCACGGGGGAGACCCUGCGUCUCUUGUCCAGUGCCCACGUCCCACGUGUGCCAACCCGCGUACGCGCAGGCGUGCACGCUCCCACGCCGGCCGAUCUCCAAAUCUGCUCCGGAGGACUCAGAACCAUAACAAUAUGGCAGUAAAAAAUAAUGAAAUGCCAUCAUAAAAAAAGAUGUGGGAAAGCAAUUAUUUAUUUAUACCUAGGGAACUAGGAAUAAUACACCUGCUUCAUAGGGAUGGCUGGCAUAAAGCUGGCAUUGCAUAGUGGUACUUAAUAAUUUUUUACCACACUUUAUAGGCUCUUUCCUGCAAUUAAUGCUAAAUAAAAUCAACAUUUCUCCAACUUGCAUUUCUGGCUCUCAUUAACUCUGUUCUUGCCAUUCACCAUCUCUUUCCCUGUCAGUAUCUUUGCUUCUUUCGUAUUUUUCCUUUAAGUUUUCUUCACUUCUUCAUGGCAUCUUUAUUAUUACUUGUUCAUCUCUUCUUUUUUUUUUUUUAUUUUAUUUUAUUUUAUUUUUUUUCCCAUCUCCAUCUCUGACACUCCUUGGCCUCACCUCUAUAUCUCUACUCAGAGCAAAAUAACUUUUAUUUAUUCCCACCUCAAAAAUAAAAGAAGACAGAAAAUUUUGUCCAGUCCCCCACCCCUGCCUUAUGAUUUUUAGAUCACAGUCUUCUGGCUUUAUUUUCUAUUAUUUUAAACAAUAAAAUCCUAUUUUUUCACACAGAAAUGCAUUUUGGAUGAAAUACUGUUCCUCUCUGGAAAUCUCUUGCCCCCAAAAUGCACGGAUUUACUCCUAAUGCCACUGAAAUUGUUUAACGCGUUUAAAAUUCGUUUAAGUAGAUAAAGUGAGCUGGGAGAGUUAUUAAAAGACAGGGUUUUCCUUGACAGUAGUAAAAGAUUUGGGAACAGAUCCUGAGCGGGCCUAACGACUGCAACCAGGUUAAAUCACCCGUGUGGCUCAGCCUGCCCUUGCUGCUGUCCCCUUGUCUGUCUAACCUGGGCGAUGCUUUUCAUUUGUCCUCACUGUCUUCGGGAAGUUUUUUUGGCUGUAGCUCCGAUUUUUCAAGACCGAGCUAAACGCAUGAUUUUGGCAUUGCUGUUUACCCAGUUCCCCAGUUGGAGAACAGUCAGACUUGUACCAAGCACAGCUUCAGGCACACACUCCUGGGAUGGAAACAUGCAGAGCAAACAAUGAAACAAGACUGUUUAUAAAGUCUUCAACACAUUAGGCAGUGGAGAAGAGCCCAAGUUUCCACGUAAAGGCCUGAAUGGACAAGAAUGACGUGAAACACAUGGAAAAUAUGGAAAAUGUGGAAUAACUCCAGAAAGGAAUGCUCAAAAGCUGACUCUAAAAAAAAAAUGUAAUAAAGCACUUGUCUGCUUUAACCACAGGUGAUGGUUCAUCUGAUCCACAAUAGCUAGCUUUAGAAAAGAAGCUUAUCAAACACAUGAAAUAUCCCUUGUAUUCAUAAGUGUUCAGAGGUCUGGUGGAGCCCAUGAGCCAGCACAGUUAAGGGCACCUGUAAGUGAAAGCCAGCAGUGACUGGGGCAGGACUCAGCUGCCUCUGACCCUCAUUGCAAUGAAUUCGGUACCAAUUUAGCUAUAACCCAUAGGGCAUGGCUUCGGCAAAAGUCAAGAAUAAGGCUAAAAUUCACGCUUUCCAGCUUGACGAAUUUAUACCCAAACAGACCAUCCAAGGGACAGCAGAAGCCCAGAGGAGCGAAGCAACUUGCCCAGAGUCAUUACGAGAACCAAAGCUUGCACAGAAAGCAGGCGGGGGCCCUGCUGCAGACACCGCGCCACAGCCCGAGAUGAUUAAGUGCUGAGCUACACGAGACUGUCCCUUUGCUGUACGUCAACAGCUUGGAAAAUUUCCUUUGAUACUGCUGUGAUGGUUCGGUUUGCUGUGCUGGCAAUAACAGG